rnacentral:rRNA from 1 species
AGAGUUUGAUCCUGGCUCAGGAUGAACGCUGGCGGCGUGCCUAAUACAUGCAAGUCGAGCGAACGGACGAGAAGCUUGCUUCUCUGAUGUUAGCGGCGGACGGGUGAGUAACACGUGGAUAACCUACCUAUAAGACUGGGAUAACUUCGGGAAACCGGAGCUAAUACCGGAUAAUAUUUUGAACCGCAUGGUUCAAAAGUGAAAGACGGUCUUGCUGUCACUUAUAGAUGGAUCCGCGCUGCAUUAGCUAGUUGGUAAGGUAACGGCUUACCAAGGCAACGAUGCAUAGCCGACCUGAGAAGGGUGAUCGGCCACACUGGAACUGAGACACGGUCCAGACUCCUACGGGAGGCAGCAGUAGGGAAUCUUCCGCAAUGGGCGAAAGCCUGACGGAGCAACGCCGCGUGAGUGAUGAAGGUCUUCGGAUCGUAAAAACUCUGUUAUUAGGGAAGAACAUAUGUGUAAGUAACUGUGCACAUCUUGACGGUACCUAAUCAGAAAGCCACGGCUAACUACGUGCCAGCAGCCGCGGUAAUACGUAGGUGGCAAGCGUUAUCCGGAAUUAUUGGGCGUAAAGCGCGCGUAGGCGGUUUUUUAAGUCUGAUGUGAAAGCCCACGGCUCAACCGUGGAGGGUCAUUGGAAACUGGAAAACUUGAGUGCAGAAGAGGAAAGUGGAAUUCCAUGUGUAGCGGUGAAAUGCGCAGAGAUAUGGAGGAACACCAGUGGCGAAGGCGACUUUCUGGUCUGUAACUGACGCUGAUGUGCGAAAGCGUGGGGAUCAAACAGGAUUAGAUACCCUGGUAGUCCACGCCGUAAACGAUGAGUGCUAAGUGUUAGGGGGUUUCCGCCCCUUAGUGCUGCAGCUAACGCAUUAAGCACUCCGCCUGGGGAGUACGACCGCAAGGUUGAAACUCAAAGGAAUUGACGGGGACCCGCACAAGCGGUGGAGCAUGUGGUUUAAUUCGAAGCAACGCGAAGAACCUUACCAAAUCUUGACAUCCUUUGACAACUCUAGAGAUAGAGCCUUCCUCUCCGGGGGACAAAGUGACAGGUGGUGCAUGGUUGUCGUCAGCUCGUGUCGUGAGAUGUUGGGUUAAGUCCCGCAACGAGCGCAACCCUUAAGCUUAGUUGCCAUCAUUAAGUUGGGCACUCUAAGUUGACUGCCGGUGACAAACCGGAGGAAGGUGGGGAUGACGUCAAAUCAUCAUGCCCCUUAUGAUUUGGGCUACACACGUGCUACAAUGGACAAUACAAAGGGCAGCGAAACCGCGAGGUCAAGCAAAUCCCAUAAAGUUGUUCUCAGUUCGGAUUGUAGUCUGCAACUCGACUACAUGAAGCUGGAAUCGCUAGUAAUCGUAGAUCAGCAUGCUACGGUGAAUACGUUCCCGGGUCUUGUACACACCGCCCGUCACACCACGAGAGUUUGUAACACCCGAAGCCGGUGGAGUAACCUUUUAGGAGCUAGCCGUCGAAGGUGGGACAAAUGAUUGGGGUGAAGUCGUAACAAGGUAGCCGUAUCGGAAGGUGCGGCUGGAUCACCU